GAUUAUGGCUCAGGAUGAACGCUAGCUACAGGCUUAACACAUGCAAGUCGAGGGGCAGCAUAUGGUAGCUUGCUACUAAUGAUGGCGACCGGCGCACGGGUGAGUAACGCGUAUCCAACCUUCCCUAUACUAGAGGAUAGCCCGGCGAAAGUCGGAUUAAUACUCUAUGUUAUUCAAUGCGGACAUCUAAGUUGAAUCAAAGAUUUAUCGGUAUAGGAUGGGGAUGCGUCUGAUUAGGUUGUUGGCGGGGUAACGGCCCACCAAGCCUACGAUCAGUAGGGGUUCUGAGAGGAAGGUCCCCCACAUUGGAACUGAGACACGGUCCAAACUCCUACGGGAGGCAGCAGUGAGGAAUAUUGGUCAAUGGACGAGAGUCUGAACCAGCCAAGUAGCGUGCAAGGAUGACGGCCCUAUGGGUUGUAAACUGCUUUUAUACAGAGAUAAAGUGAGCCACGUGUGGUUUUUUGUAGGUACUGUAUGAAUAAGGACCGGCUAAUUCCGUGCCAGCAGCAGC
rnacentral:rRNA from 1 species